UACGGGGGGAGCAAGCGUUGUUCGGAUUUACUGGCGUAAAGGGCGCGUAGGCGGCACCGCAAGUCGACUGUGAAAUCUCCGGGCUUAACUCGGAAAGGUCAGCCGAUACUGCGGGGCUAGAGUGCAGAAGGGGCAACUGGAAUUCUCGGUGUAGCGGUGAAAUGCGUAGAUAUCGAGAGGAACACCUGCGGCGAAGGCGGGUUGCUGGGCUGACACUGACGCUGAUGCGCGAAAGCUAGGGGAGCGAAGCGG
rnacentral:rRNA from 1 species